rnacentral:rRNA from 1 species
UACGAAGGGGGCUAGCGUUGUUCGGAAUUACUGGGCGUAAAGCGCGCGCAGGCGGCUAUCCAAGUCAGUGGUGAAAGCCCGGAGCUCAACUCCGGAACUGCCAUUGAAACUGUUUAGCUGGAGUAUGAGAGAGGUGAGUGGAAUUCCUGGUGUAGCGGUGAAAUGCGCAGAUAUCAGGAGGAACACCAAUGGCGAAGGCAGCUCGCUGGGACGGUACUGACGCUGAGACGCGAAAGCGUGGGGAGCAAACAGG